AGAGUUUGAUCUGGCUCAGAACGAACGCUGGCGGCGUGCUUAACACAUGCAAGUCGAGUGCACAGUUUGCGUAGCAAUACGUAGAUGGGUGCACGGCGCACGGGUGCGUAACACGUGGGCAAUCUGCCCUCCGAUGGGGAAUAACCCCGCGAAAGCGGGGCUAAUUCCGCAUAAUAUUCCCUGGACCUCGGUUUGGGGAUUCAAAGCCGUAAGGCGUCGGAGGAGGAGCCCGCGCCCGAUUAGCUAGUUGGUGAGGUAAUGGCUCACCAAGGCAAUGAUCGGUAGCUGGUCUGAGAGGAUGGCCAGCCACACUGGAACUGAGACACGGUCCAGACUCCUACGGGAGGCAGCAGUGGGGAAUCUUGCGCAAUGGGCGAAAGCCUGACGCAGCGACGCCGCGUGGGGGAUGAAGCUUCUCGGAGUGUAAACCCCUUUCGACUGGGACGAAUGCCUCGCAAGAGGAGUGACGGUACCAGUAGAAGAAGCCCCGGCUAACUACGUGCCAGCAGCCGCGGUAAGACGUAGGGGGCCAGCGUUGUUCGGAAUUACUGGGUGUAAAGGGUUCGUAGGCGGUGCGGCAAGUUGGGAGUGAAAUCUCUGGGCUUAACCCAGAGGCUGCUUCCAAAACUGCCG
rnacentral:rRNA from 1 species